rnacentral:rRNA from 1 species
AUUGAACGCUGGCGGCAUGCCUUACACAUGCAAGUCGAACGGCAGCACGGGGCAACCUGGUGGCGAGUGGCGAACGGGUGAGUAAUGCAUCGGAACGUACCUUUCAGUGGGGGAUAACGUAGCGAAAGUUACGCUAAUACCGCAUAUUCUGUGAGCAAGAAAGCAGGGGAUCGCAAGACCUUGCGCUGAUUGAGCGGCCGAUGUCAGAUUAGCUAGUUGGUGAGGUAAAGGCUCACCAAGGCGACGAUCUGUAGCGGGUCUGAGAGGAUGAUCCGCCACACUGGAACUGAGACACGGUCCAGACUCCUACGGGAGGCAGCAGUGGGGAAUUUUGGACAAUGGGGGCAACCCUGAUCCAGCCAUGCCGCGUGAGUGAAGAAGGCCUUCGGGUCGUAAAGCUCUUUCGGCCGGGAAGAAAUCGCACGGGCUAAUACCCUGUGUGGAUGACGGUACCGGAAUAAGAAGCACCGGCUAACUACGUGCCAGCCGCCGCGAUAAAAC